AACCUGUGUUGGCAUUCAAACGACCCCAAAAGUGUCACUAUUCAAUGGAAAAGCACAUGUUUCAAAAGUAACACAAAAAUAAAAAUUCACUCUGGGAUUUUAGACUAAAACCAGCUUUUAAAAAAGAUUAUUUUGUAAGAUUAAUAUCCUUUGAUUAUUUAUGCAAGAAAUUCAAGUACCGAGGUAUUCAAUACCGAGGGUGAUACAACGAUAAUGCGAUGAUCGUGGAAAUAUGAAGAACAUAAGAAGGAAGGGGAAUUUACUUGUCCCGUGUCCCGGAAACUUAAAGCUAUGUACCGGAAAAAGUACAAGAAUACACGGGUCCAGCGGCAUAUUCCGGAAACGCGUUCCGAUGGAGCGUAAAGACCCAAUCAACAUUCACCAUACCCAUUGUUUCAACAGCUGCGAAAACAGACACCAUCAAGAAUACAUUGCAUUGACUGACACCUUCUGCGUUGUACUAGUUGUACUAGCUACGGACGAAUCUUUUUGAAUCGACUGAAGGAACACUGAUACAAGGAGAACCAAAUCUUUGCUUUUCUCCAGACUGUUUGUUGGUACCGCAGCCAGUCAAGCUCAUCUCAGUUGCCCCCGGAACUGCAAAUACAGUAAUCCGCUUUAUUCGCUAGGUACCGUAAAGAAAUUGCAACAUCCAUAGAUCCAGACGCUUCUCAUGACAUUCAUCACUGCGACCUGCGACCACAGCAGCGGAUAGAACUACAUUCCGGAACAAAGCAAAUAUGGCAAUUAUUGUUAUAGCAUUG